AUAUUUGUCUUCUCAUGUUAAUUAUCAGGGAGUUGCUGUACUUUCUGUACUUAACUCCAUGGAUAAAUCACUUGUCAUACUUCAGAGAAUGACUGGUAAUGAAAUAUUUUCAUAUUCACAACAUUCUAAUCUGUCUUUGUUUCACAGUGGGUGUAGUUAUGCUGUUGUGGCCGAAGCCGGGUUUGCGGUCUUGGGCUUGCGCCCGUUCGGCUUCCUGCUGGACACAGUGCCACGACAGCAUAUCUGUGCCUGCUGUGAAACAAAGAGAGAUGAGGGAACGUGAGGCAUCUCCUUCCAGUGGAAUGUUGUUAAUUCAAACCAAGGAUGUAAAGCAUGUGUGAAUUCAAAAGGAAGAGAGUGGAUGAGAGUACAGGCUGCAGGCACGGAGUGUUUGACGAGGCAGUUAUCGCCACAGCACUUAGGGAAGUACUGAAGGGCCUUGAGUAUUUCCACAACAACGGACAAAUCCACAGGUAUCACCCGGAGGCAGAGUCUGCGUGCCGAGGACGGCAUUGUUUACCCAUCAGUGAAUAGCUCCUGGUGACCUAUGGUAAAGCACAGCAACAAAACUGUAAGCAUCCAAAAUUAGUCAAUGAUGGGUCGCGUGAAGCCUGAUGGAGUCGUCAGUUAUGGAUGCUGCUUCCGUGGCAGCUGGACCAGCACUGGUGUUGGAUGUGUAUGAACAGCUACACAAGCGUCUCAGCUGCUGUGAGAUGUAUGAUGACUGUGUUCUAGCACAUGAUGGAUAUGCAACUCAAAUAUAUCCACAUUUUUUCCAUAUGUGCUUUUCACCUGCAUUUUUGCUGUAUAGAUUUCUUUUGUGGUGACUACAGUCAGCUCGCCACUAAUGUGCAGUAUUCUGAUGCAAAUCACGUAUACUGCCUGGGAUCAGCUUGCUUGCGAGUCGUACCCUAACGGAAUUUAAAGCCUACUGCAUGGAUGGUCCGCAACAAAUUGUAAAAAUGUCUGUAACACUGAUAUCGAGGUAGCAAGUGCAGUUCCAAUCCCAACAUCACUAGCACUAUACACAGUGAUGCAAGUUUGGUGAGAAGAAUGAGCUGUAACUGCUGCAGCUGCCACCAUUGAUAGUGACAUCAACAGUGAGCAUUCAUCAGCUGUUUGUGUAAACAGUGGCUCAGUGUGGUCUUUUAAUGAAUGUUUGUGUACUGUAUAAGUCUUAAUUCAUUAUUUAAAAAAAUAUUUUUACAA